CCUUAGCCCAGAUAGUAGUGGAAAUCCUUUUUUGAGGUUUUUACCGAAAAAAAGAUUACAACGUAUAGCUGGAUUAGCU
rnacentral:sRNA from 1 species